AGGCUGUGAAGCAGUGGGCUGGUUCGGUGACAGUCGAUUGUGAAGCCAGACCGUGGGUUGUGCGGGAACCACAAGCCAAAUAAGCGGCGGAAAUGCUGCUGAAAGAAAACGCAAAAA
rnacentral:ncRNA from 1 species